GUGAUUCUCUUCACCCCAAAAGCAAGAAGGUCUGCUCUUUUCUGUAGUUAGAGCUAUUUUAAUGAAGUUAAUUUAAGAGGUCAGAAUCCAACUUGUGACUUCUCAGAUUCUUUCAUUUGCAUUACAAAUCAUUUAAGGGAAAAAGGAGCAACUGACUAAAAGAUAUUGGUGAAGGACUAGAGUAAAACAUUAUUAAUGUGAACUGUUAUUUUGGAAAAUCUGAUCAUCUAGACAGAGGUAAUGAAAGCCAUUGGACAAAAUGCUUUGCAAUGGAAAUCAGUAAGAGUUCAUUGGGGAGAUUAAACUAUUCACUGGAACAGAAUUUUUAAUCACUCUCAGUAUCUGAGAAUACCAGUUACAUGAUGCCCAAAUCACAUUAUGAACAACCCCUUCCCGUUUUUCAGGCCAUGAGGAAAAAGAAGUGAUUCUUGAUCAUUUGGUCUUGUGCAUCACUCUGUUGGCUAGCAUAACUAUGUGAAUAGAUGCUGGAAACCAAAUACACAUCUCACGCUUAACAACAAAGAGACUGCUGGUUCAUAUGCAACCCAGCUUCCCUCUCCCUGGUGUGGAAAGGUGCUCACUGAAGUGAAGUCCUCACAGCCAUACCAACAAGCAGUGUUUGACAUGCGGUUGCCUGCAGAAACAGCCAGAUGAAAGCAAGAUUCAUAAAGGAUGUUGUCUAAUUCCUCUGCACCAAUGGAAAAAUGCCCAGCUGACUCCCACAAAGCAUUUUGGAAACUCAUGAUGUAUCGGGAA
rnacentral:lncRNA from 1 species